rnacentral:rRNA from 1 species
GAUGAACGCUGGCGGCGUGCCUAAUACAUGCAAGUCGAGCGAACAGACGAGGAGCUUGCUCCUCUGACGUUAGCGGCGGACGGGUGAGUAACACGUGGAUAACCUACCUAUAAUACUGGGAUAACUUCGGGAAACCGGAGCUAAUACCGGAUAAUAUAUUGAACCGCAUGGUUCAAUAGUGAAAGACGGUUUUGCUGUUACUAAUAGAUGGAUCCGCGCCGCAUUAGCUAGUUGGUAAGGUAACGGCUUACCAAGGCAACGAUGCGUAGCCGACCUGAGAGGGUGAUCGGCCACACUGGAACUGAGACACGGUCCAGACUCCUACGGGAGGCAGCAGUAGGGAAUCUUCCGCAAUGGGCGAAAGCUUGACGGAGCAACGCCGCGUGAGUGAUGAAGGUCUUCGGAUCGUAAAACUCUGUUAUUAGGGAAGAACAAAUGUGUAAGUAACUAUGCACGUCUUGACGGUACCUAAUCAGAAAGCCACGGCUAACUACGUG